CCUACGGGAGGCUGCAGUGGGGAAUAUUGGGCAAUGGAGGAAACUCUGACCCAGCAACGCCGCGUGAAUGAUGAAGGUCUUCGGAUUGUAAAGUUCUUUUCUAAGGGAAGAAGAAAGUGACGGUACCUUAUGAAUAAGCCUCGGCUAACUACGUGCCAGCAGCCGCGGUAAUACGUAGGAGGCGAGCGUUAUCCGGAAUGACUGGGCGUAAAGGGUGCGUAGGUGGUUUGGUAAGUUAGUAGCGUAACUCCAAGGCUCAACCUUGGAACUACUACUAAAACUGGUGGACGUGAGUGCAGGGGGGGCAAGCGGAAUUCGUAGUGUAGCGGUGAAAUGCAUAGAUAUCACGAAGAACUCCGAUUGCGAAGGCAGCAUACCGGCGCGCAACUGACGCUCAGGCACGAAAGCGUGGGUAUCGAACAGGAUUAGAUACCCGAGUAGUC
rnacentral:rRNA from 1 species